CAGCGGUCGGGGCGGGGGCGGCCGGUGCAGGGCUCCGGCGCCAGGCGGGAGCCUGGCCACCGGCUCCGCGCUUCUGCCCUCCCAGCUCCCGAGCUCCGCGCGCGGGAGCGCCCAGCUGGUCCCGUGCUUCCAGAUCCUCCCCGCCCUGAUUGCUUGGAUUUCCCUUUCUCCUUUCACAGUCACUCCUUUCAUUUUGACUCCCCGGCGGUCUGUUGCUUCCUCGCUUUUUUUCCGCGUGUUUAACCCGGGAAGACCCCAGGGUACAAUUCCCAUCUGGAGACUUGCAGAAAAGUGCACGAGUGUGAAGAAUUUUUGCAAAUUGAACACACCUGUUGAACCAGCACCUCGAUCAAGAAACAACAUGACCAGCUCUCCAGAAGCCUUGCUUGAUUUCCUUUUCCAAUCACUGCCUGGUCCUCAAGGGUUACCACUGGCUUGACUUUAGAAUGCAGCAUAGAAUAAUUUUGCCUAUUUUUGUACUUUUAUUUGUGCCUUUUGUAAAGCAAGGUUUGUGAGCUUCAUCCAUAUUGUGUGAGGUUGUCAUUUGUUCUUCUCAUUGUAUUAUCAGCUUUUAACACAUUUACAAUCUAUAAUAUUAAAAUUAUUUUAACUCA